ensembl:lncRNA
CUUUUUUCCUUAAAUAAACCAAGACACUCAGGUAAGUAUAUAUUAGAACUGCUAACAAUGUGUGCAUAUCUCAUAACGUAAAAUGAGCCCCAUUUAAAAAACAAGUAUGCAGGAGGAGGGCUUUUAUGAUGCAGAUACAGUGUUGUUCUGUGGAUAUUACAUGAGCUUUUUAUUACAUUAUGUCAUUGUGUAGGUGUGAGUACUACUUAUAUAAUAUUUGCACCCGAAAGCGUAUGUAAACAGGAACACACACAAGCUCACACACACAUCUUCUAGUUUGAUAACACAGACGAAGUAUCAAAGUAUUCAAAGUAUCAUUUUGUGUUAUAUAAUGUUUAAAUAUUUUCAGAAAAGAGCAAAAGUAAUUUUUGACAUGAUAUUUUUAAGUACCAUAAAUAAUGUAUGAAAAAUGUUUUCUGAUUAAAAAUACAUUUUACUUUAUACUAGGAAUCACUUCUUACCUUGAAAUGUUCUCAAAUGUCAUAGCACAAGAGAACCGCGGUGGCAUUGUGAAUAUAAGACCAAAAGAAGAUGGCAGCAACAGACCAUGGAACACGUCUGUACUGUUUUCCAGUCUCCACGGCCACCACCUGCCUCCACAGGCACCACCUAAGGAUUCUCAGAGCUGCAGGAAUGAGAGUUUUUUCAACUUUUAUCCUCAUGGUGACUCCCCAUGCAGUUUCUUGAGGGCUGUGGUAAACCAUUUCUCUGUAAUAAAAAUACCCAUGAUACUCUUUUCUCUACUGCCUCUUUGAAAUGUAAGAUGGCAGUAUUUAAAAAAAAAAGAUGGCAGUAUUAAAAUUGCUUAUAUUGAAUGUACUGUCAUUUCCAAAAUUCUUCACAUGGUCAAAUAAAAAUAUUCUCUUUGAAUAUGCA